rnacentral:rRNA from 1 species
AACGAACGCUGGCGGCAUGCCUAACACAUGCAAGUCGAACGAGACCUUCGGGUCUAGUGGCGCACGGGUGCGUAACGCGUGGGAACCUGCACUUAUGUUCGGAAUAACUCCCCGAAAGGGGUGCUAAUACCGGAUAAUGUCUUCGGACCCAAGAUUUAUCGCCUUUGGAUGGGCCCGCGUUGGAUUAGCUAGUUGGUAGGGUAAAAGCCUACCAAGGCGACGAUCCAUAGCUGGUCUGAGAGGAUGAUCAGCCACACUGGGACUGAGACACGGCCCAGACUCUUACGGGAGGACGCAGUGGGGAAUAUUGGACAAUGGGCGAAAGCAUGAUGAAGCAAUGCCGCGUGAGUGAGGAAGGCCUUAGGGUUGUAAAGCUCUUUUAACCGGGAUGAUAAUGACAGUACCGGGAGAAUAAGCUCCGGCUAACUACGUG